GGGGUUAUAGCUCAGUGGUAGAGUGCUUGCCUCACAAGCAUGAGGCACUGGGUUGGAUCCUCAGUACCACA
rnacentral:tRNA from 1 species